rnacentral:lncRNA from 1 species
UAAGCAUUUGCAUGGACCACCUUUGGGAGGGAAUGUGUGUACGUCACACACAUGUUUCCGCGGUCUUGACAGGGUGACAGAAAUCCAGGACUUGCACCUUAUUCCCCAUGGUAAAGGCUACAUGAAAUCAGGGCUUGAACUUAGAUUCCGCAAAAGCCUGGGAAGACUUGAGGCUUCCUAUUUGAAGUGGUAUGUUGAGUCCCUAGUUAAAAGCAAGCAGGGAAGCCUACUCUGUCUGGUGCUGUCCAGAGUGAAGCUCUGACUUCCACCUGGACAUGCUUUAUAAACACUCAUUUUUCUGUCUGAUGGUGGAGGGCAUUGCUACUUGCUAGAGUGCAUACACCGACUAAUUCAGGAACCGCGCUAUCACUGGAUGGAGUCCGCUACUCUAAGCUUCCUUCCCGCCUGAGGAGUGAGAUUUGUUCAUUGAGAAGUCCCUUCAGCUUACCAGAACUCGCUGAGGUCAAACAUCCCGUCCUUCUAAGGAAAUUUGUCUCACAACUAAAGGAGAUAUUCCUAGAGAAAGCCUUCCUCUGUUCAAACUACAGUGUGUGUCCGUGUUCUUAGAAAAUGACAAAAUUAUCUACCACUCUGUCUAUAUGUCUGGUGUGCUCCC